rnacentral:ncRNA from 1 species
UAAAUUUAAAGCGCCAGGACAUUUUUUUAUGUUGACGAGGUUAGAGUUUAUCGAAAUUUUCGGCGGAUACUCUAUGGUUUAUUUUCGGAUCAUUAUAAAAAAUUCAAAAAAUAGUAGUAAUACUAUAACAA